CGCCAAGAUCGUCGGCGACGUGAUGGGCUCGUUCCAUCCGCACGGCGACCAGUCGAUCUACGACGCGCUGGUGCGCCUCGCGCAGGAUUUCUCGUCGCGUUAUCCGCUGGUCGACGGGCAGGGCAACUUCGGCAACAUCGACGGCGAUAAUCCGGCCGCCUAUCGCUACACCGAAGCGCGCAUGACGGAAGUCGCGCGGCUGCUGCUCGAGGGCAUUGAUGAGGACGCGGUCGAAUUCCGCCCCAACUACGACGGUCAGUCGAAAGAGCCGUUCGUGCUGCCGGGUGCAUUCCCGAACCUGCUCNCAUCGCGGUCGGCAUGGCGACCUCGAUCCCGCCGCACAACGCAGCGGAACUCUGUGACGCU
rnacentral:misc_RNA from 1 species